GCCCACUUUAAGUUCCGGGUCAUAGGUUAACUCGGAUCUCCAUUGCUGUGUGCUGCUGUCGCUGUGGCUAACUGCUCGUCUUGGCGUCUUCUAAACGUUUGGAAGAAUACGGCUGGAUCGAGGCUUAACAACACAGCCUAAGGAUUUAAUUGGGUGUUUUCUAUCUAUCGCUCGACGGUCAGGGUUUUUUUCCACCCCCUGUGUCAACCCAGGAUGGCGAGCUAAGGAUCACCGCAGCUUUGCGGUAGGAGUUAAAUGAACCAAGCUACUUUCUCAUUCUGGAUCUAUUUGCACUGGAUCAUGGACAAAAAAACAGUCAGAUAAUUGAUUGAUGGACCAUUAAUCACCCUGGACUCACAAAUGGACUCAAAAUAGAAAAAAAACUCUUGGGUGUCAUCAGGGUUUAUUGUUUUUGUUGUUGUUUUGUUUUUUUCCUGGUUGUGUCUUUUGGUUAUAUUCAUAGCAAAUCACUGUUAUUAUAAAUAUCAUUAUUAUUAUUGCAUAUCUUCCUAAAUAUAUGGAAAAAAAACACAAGCUUGAAUACAAUAACUUCAAUUUA